rnacentral:rRNA from 1 species
UACAUGAGUGGCGAGCGUUAUCCGUAUUUAUUGGGCGUAAAGGAUGCGUAGAUGGUAAAAGAAGUUGUAAUCUACUAUAACAGUUUAUUGGGUUGAUUUACAAUACCUUUUUACUAGAGUUUUUUUUAAGUGUAUGACAUCUGUAAACUAGUGAUAAAAUACUUUGAGUUUAUAGGUAUCUUCAAAUACGAAAGUAAUAUGCUAAAAAAAA